rnacentral:lncRNA from 1 species
UAGGCUGGCUCUCUUCGACAGUUAUUCUGCUCCAUCUCCUUUACCUCAGGACAGAUAAUGACCACUCCACAUAGUCCCAUAUUCAAUAGAACUGAACCUUGAAGCAUCAUUGCUGAGGGAGUCACCCAUCUACAGAGAGGUCUGAUGCUAGACUAGCACAACUCACAAACAUUGCCAUUUGCCUUGUGUGACUUGGCAGCAGGGGCUGGAAGUGGUGAAGAAGAGCUGGGCUGGGUUAGUGCCAACCUGCUACUGCAGGCUCUUCAUCAACACGCGCAAAGGGAAC